rnacentral:lncRNA from 1 species
UACUGACUUUCAUAAUUAACCUAAUAGGUAAUCAUUUGCAUAUGUAAGUUCAACUGAUUUUCAUGACAAUUCUUCAAUAUGAUUUCAUCAUUUUUAGCACUUGAAGUCAUAACUAAUACAAUAUUCAAAAGAUCUUGGCCCGACCUUUCAUUCAGCAGUAGCAUGUCCAAGUCUUUCUAAUAAUCAAACCAGUUCUCCUAACUUCACAACAACUCAAGAAUCAGCAGGGCAAGGUCCAUUUGAGCAGUCAUCAAAAUACUUUCACAUCAGUAGGAGUUGUGCAACUGUUAGCAAUCUGAAGCAUUAAACACAAACCCUAUAGUAUCCAAGACCAAAAGUAUCUCUCGGCAAAUCCCAACAUUGCACUCAAUAAGUCCCAACAGAGUUUGAAUUAGAAAGGAAACAUUCAUCACACUAUAGGCCUGUAAUGAGUUACCCAUGUUUGAGUUGUACUAACCCUAACCAUAAUUAUGACCAUUCUAACAUGUUUACCUGCAACUUCCAAUCACACCAAAAUAAAACCUGCAAUCUGCAACAAAUCAAUUUAAAACUUGCAUCUCAAAAAUAACUAACCAAACCUGCAUUUAAACAUUUACCAGUUUAACAGGUCAUCUUCGAUUCACAAUAGUCACACCAUAUAACUCUAAUUCAAUAUAUUACCUGUUAUUAACCAGACACAUUUGAUCACUGACAAAACUAAAAACCUAACUAAUUAACUGACUAAGACAUUUCACAGCUAACUUCUUAAUUUGGAUUUGCAUUUAGCCUAAAUUACAUGUGGAUUUGUAACAGAAUGGGGAGAAGGUUCUAUAAAAGCUCAUCACAAUUCAGUUGGAAAAAGGAUUUUCACUAUCAAAACACUCACAAAAUCGACCUCUGAACUCUCUCUCUCUCUCU